AUUGAACGCUGGCGGCAGGCCUAACACAUGCAAGUCGAACGAGUGGCGGACGGGUGAGUAAUGUCUGGGAAACUGCCCGAUGGAGGGGGAUAACUACUGGAAACGGUAGCUAAUACCGCAUACCAUCGGAUGUGCCCAGAUGGGAUUAGCUAGUUGGUGGGGUAAAGGCCUACCAAGGCGACGAUCCGUACCUGGUCUGAGAGGAUGAUCAGUCAAACUGGAACGAGGACACGGUCCAGACUCCUACGUGAGGCAGCAGUGGGGAAUAUUGGACAAUGGGCGAAAGCCGGAGCCAGCCAUGCCGCGUGUGUGAAGAAGGUCUUCGGAUUGUAAAGUACUUUAAGUUGGGAGGCGUUACCAACAGAAUAAGCACCGGCUAACUUCGUGCAAGCAGCCGCGGUAAUAC
rnacentral:rRNA from 1 species